CAGUCUCUCCUGACAGCUAGCUCCACUUAGCUUGUUCUCAGCUUGUAACGCGCCAUGUCCAAUUAGCUCUCAGGGUGCUUCGUCUUCAUCCCUGAAGUCUGAAGAAAGCAGUAGGCUGCUCACAUCCACCAUGAUGGAGAAGGCCUUGAUUGGAUGACAAGAUGUCCUGCAGCCACAGUCCAGACUGAGUCAGCUAAUCGUCAACUUUGUGUUCACCGGUAGAAGUGAAAGUCUGUGGCCUGGACAGGAAGUCUCAAACUGGGCCCUCAGCGCCAGGCCGGGAGUUAAGGUGAACUUCUGUCUAAGAAGAACAUGCCAAAAUCCGUGAAAUUCUCCUUCUCUCAAGUACAACCAGGCAAUAAAAGAGGUGCGGAGUAAUUGGUGGAUUUAUCCUUGAGGAAGUGAUAUGUCUGAAGCGAGAGAGAGAGACGGUUUGAAGGAAAUAAGGCUGACGAAACUUGGUGAUCAAAGACGGCCUGAUAUGUGAGAUGAGUAGAUCGAGUCGCUGGAAAGAGUCCAUGUGAAAUUUUGGAUGUGGAGAAAUCUCAUUUUCUGAAAUAAUUUCGCAAAACCUUAUCUGUCUUUGAUGUGCAAUCGGCAGAUUGGACAAAAUAAAGAUUGAUAUCCU